rnacentral:rRNA from 1 species
UUGACCUCGGAUCAGGUAGGGAUACCCGCUGAACUUAAGCAUAUCAAUAAGCGGAGGAAAAGAAACCAACAGGGAUUGCCUUAGUAACGGCGAGUGAAGCGGCAACAGCUCAAAUUUGAAAUCUGGCUCCUUCGGGGUCCGAGUUGUAAUUUGUAGAAGAUGCUUUGAGCGUGGCUCCGGUCUAAGUUCCUUGGAACAGGACGUCAUAGAGGGUGAGAAUCCCGUAUGUGACUGGGUGCCUUCGUUCGUGUAAAGCUCUCUCGACGAGUCGAGUUGUUUGGGAAUGCAGCUCAAAAUGGGUGGUAAAUUUCAUCUAAAGCUAAAUAUUGGCCAGAGACCGAUAGCGCACAAGUAGAGUGAUCGAAAGAUGAAAAGCACUUUGGAAAGAGAGUUAAACAGUACGUGAAAUUGUUGAAAGGGAAGCGCUUGCAACCAGACUUGCACGCUGUUGAUCAUCCGAGGUUUUCCCCGGUGCACUCGGCAGCGUUCAGGCCAGCAUCGGUUUUGGUGGGUGGAGAAAGGCCUUGGGAAUGUAGCUCCUCUCGGGGAGUGUUAUAGCCCUCGGUGCAAUGCGCCCUACCAGGAUCGAGGACCGCGCUUCGGCUAGGAUGCUGGCGUAAUGGUUGUAAGCGACC